rnacentral:rRNA from 1 species
UACGUAGGUGACAAGCGUUGUCCGGAUUUACUGGGCGUAAAGAGCGCGCAGGCGGUCGUUCAAGUCGAGUGUGAAAGCCCCCGGCUCAACUGGGGAGGGUCAUUCGAUACUGAUCGACUCGAAGGCAGGAGAGGGUAGUGGAAUUCCCGGUGUAGUGGUGAAAUGCGUAGAUAUCGGGAGGAACACCAGUGGCGAAGGCGACUAUCUGGCCUGUUCUUGACGCUGAGGCGCGAAAGCUAGGGGAGCAAGCGGG